UACGUAGGGAGCAAGCGUUGUCCGGAAUCAUUGGGCGUAAAGCGCGCGUAGGUGGCCAUGUAAGUCCGCUGUGAAAGUCAAAGGCUCAACCUUUGAAAGCCGGUGGAUACUGCAUGGCUAGAGUACGGAAGAGGCGAGUGGAAUUCCUGGUGUAGCGGUGGAAUGCGCAGAUAUCAGGAGGAACACCAAUAGCGAAGGCAGCUCGCUGGGACGUUACUGACACUGAGGCGCGAAAGCCAGGGGAGCGAACGGG
rnacentral:rRNA from 1 species